rnacentral:rRNA from 1 species
AACGAACGCUGGCGGCAUGCCUAACACAUGCAAGUCGAACGAGACCUUCGGGUCUAGUGGCGCACGGGUGCGUAACGCGUGGGAACCUGCCCUUAGGUUCGGAAUAACUCCCCGAAAGGGGUGCUAAUACCGGAUAAUGUCUUCGGACCAAAGAUUUAUCGCCUUUGGAUGGGCCCGCGUUUGAUUAGCUAGUUGGUAGGGUAAAAGCCUACCAAGGCGACGAGCCAUAGCUGGUCUGAGAGGAGGAUCAGCCACACUGGGACUGAGACACGGCCCAGACUCCUACGCGAGGCAGCAGUGGGGAAUAUUGGACAAUGGGCGAAAGCCUGAGACAGCAAUGCCGCGUGAGUGAUGAAGGCCUUAGGGUUGUAUAGCUCUUUUACCCGGGAUGAUAAUGACAGUACCGGGAGAAUAAGCGCCGGCUAACUCCGUG